AUUGAACGCUGGCGGCAGGCCUAACACAUGCAAGUCGAGCGGGGUUUUCGGACCUAGCGGCGGACGGGUGAGUAAUGCGUAGGAAGCUGCCCGAUAGAGGGGGAUACCAGUUGGAAACGACUGUUAAUACCGCAUAAUGUCUACGGACCAAAGUGUGGGACCUUCGGGCCACAUGCUAUCGGAUGCGCCUACGUGGGAUUAGCUAGUUGGUGAGGUAAUGGCUCACCAAGGCGACGAUCUCUAGCUGGUUUGAGAGGAUGAUCAGCCACACUGGAACUGAGACACGGUCCAGACUCCUACGGGAGGCAGCAGUGGGGAAUAUUGGACAAUGGGCGCAAGCCUGAUCCAGCCAUGCCGCGUGUGUGAAGAAGGCCUUCGGGUUGUAAAGCACUUUCAGCGAGGAGGAAGGGGUGUGUGUUAAUAGUACACACCUUUGACGUUACUCGCAGAAGAAGCGCCGGCUAACUCUGUGCCAGCAGCCGCGGUAAGAC
rnacentral:rRNA from 1 species